CCUACGGGGGGCAGCAGUGGGGAAUAUUGCACAAUGGGGGAAACCCUGAUGCAGCGACGCCGCGUGAGCGAGGAAGUAUUUCGGUAUGUAAAGCUCUAUCAGCAGGGACGAAAAAAGACGGUACCUGACUAAGAAGCACCGGCUAACUACGUGCCAGCAGCCGCGGUAAUACGUAGGGGGCAAGCGUUAUCCGGAUUUACUGGGUGUAAAGGGAGCGUAGACGGCAAGGCAAGCCAGAAGUGAAAGGGCAGGGCUCAACCCUGUACAUGCUUUUGGAACUGUGGUGCUAGAGUGCAGGAGAGGUAAGUGGAAUUCCUAGUGUAGCGGUGAAAUGCGUAGAUAUUAGGAGGAACACCGAUUGCGAAGGCAGCUCACUGGACUGCAACUGACACUGAUGCUCGAAAGUGUGGGUAUCAAACAGGAUUAGAUACCCUUGUAGUC
rnacentral:rRNA from 1 species